AACGCAAAUUGCGCUGUUGGGCAUUCCCGACAGCAUGCUUGGCUGAGUAUCAUCUGGACAAAUCGAUCGCGUUUUUUGUGAUCGGAUAUGAGGAUUCUUGUCGCAGCCACUCUUGAUUGCGUCCCUUCAAGUCUAGUAUGGUAUUGGCAAUGUAUUUGCUGGUCAAAUGCGAAUUCAAUGUCUUUGCCGUUCAGUGUGUUACGUGUUUCAAACACAAAAGCACUGGACAAUACGGCAACCUAUUGACGUUCGCACCCAAAACUUUGAUCUCAGCUCAAGCAAGACUACCCGCUGAAUUUAA
rnacentral:misc_RNA from 1 species